CUUUAUACAUUCAUUGCAGAAUUUAUUAAAAUCGACAUUUUCUGCGUGUUCGUACUUAUCACCCUGUAAUUCCGGAACCGGAAGUCGGAUCCGUUAGAAAUUCAAUAGCAGCCUAUGGGAACGUUGCACCUUUCAUUUGAGACUAAGUUUGUCAAAAUCGGUUCAGCCAUCUCUGAGAAAAAUGAGUGACAUUUUUGGUCACAUACACACACAUACACACACAUACAUACAUACACACAUACAUACACACACAGACAUUUGCCGAACUCGACGAACUGAAUCGAAUGGUAUAUGUCACUCGGCCCUCCGGGCCUCCGUUAAAAAGUCGGUUUUCAGAGCAAUUGCAAUACCUUUCUAUUGAGAAAGGCAAAAACGUCGCGAAAUGCUCGCGAAAAAAUUUUUCGUUUCCAUUUCGUAAGCGGUACGCAGCUCUCGCGAAAACGAUAACGAAAAAUGCAGUUAGCCGAGACACGGUUCGACAAACGAUAAGUUUCAUAAUACUUCCGCGAGAUAGCGCUGCUUUCUAUGCGCUGUCACCAAGGCAAACUUUUUCCUUGCGAAAUAAUGGUCAAUGGUAUUAUUUCGCACGGAGGCUCGCGAAAUUUUGACAGGUUGCAUUGAAAAAAUAUAAAAAAACACAAGAUUAGUAAUUUUUUGUAUUUUUUUUUCAUCGCGACCUGUCAAUAUUUCGUAGUUUUGAGAAUCAAUAUUUUGAAUUUGAAUGCACACCCGAACAAAGCAGCCACAAGAGCAGCAUUUUUCGUCAGCAGCCAUCUAUCUACUUGAUAAGUUUUCAUCAACAACAACCAGGUGCUACAAAUCAGCUCAACUUGACUCAACAUCCUGGAUCUGGCAAUCAGCCAACCAACAUUAAAUCGAUACAACCGUAGCAGUACCAACAACUCCAAAUCCAGCAGCUGCCAACAAUCUCUCAAAAAAGAACCACAGCAAUUACAGCUCAGAACCAACAAAGCAACAAGAGCUUUUUUACGAAUAAUGGACCCAUCGGAAACACUAUCGGCACAUUCUGUCGUAAAACUUGCCUGCCACUAUUCUUACCAGCGGUUACCUUCAUGAUGUAGAGAAAUCAGAGUCAAACACAAACGUCAUAUUACUGCCUUGGCUCCUACCAGUUCCUUGCAUGAAAAUAUCGCUGCCUCCACAGUGCUCGUGAUUCCAUCCCAGCAGCAGCUAGCAACCACAAUUCCAGUGCUUAUCGCCAGCAACAUCAGAAAAUUAAGAUUUCCCCCAGACCAUGACCAUCAUCCGACAGAUCGGUUGCAACGUUCAACUGACGGUACAACCUGGCCAGCAACCGCAACUAGUGCAAUCGAUCCAAGCCAAUCAGGGCCAAAUGUAGAAGACCAUUGGUCAACUGCAAAAAAAAGAUACAUCAACAGCACCUUCAAACACUGUAGCAGCAGCAUACUGUACUGUACCACGCCGCGUGCAGGAGGACUUGUUUUUAUUCAGUUGGUGCAGCAAGAUCGAACAGCAACCAUAGCGGAUACACAUCACCGAACACCAGCAACAUAAUGCCAUGGUAACCACCCAGCAGCAGAACACGGCGAUAAUGGGCCAACAGUAAAUACAACAUCAAGAUCCUCGGAAAGGACUAUCUCUUUCGAACAAACAUAAUGGAAGCAUACUCUACACGCGCGACAUAUUCAAUCGGGCCAACCGUGUGACUCGUUUGGCAAAAAGGGCUCAUCAUCGGUUUCAUGGCAGCGAAGUGAGCAGACAAAAGAAGGCGUUUUUUCCGAAUGGUCGCUCUGGGCAAAAGUUCAGCCAAUUGCAAGGAAUAAACCACCGGAGUGACAGUAUCCGUGCUGAUUCAGGACCUUUUUCCAUAUAUUGUAGCUUUUGAAUUUUAAUACCCGGUCGAAACGAUGGCAAGUGCUGCCGAUAACUGGGUCAAAAAGGCGGAAGGAGGAUCAGGAAAUUUCUGCACUCGGUUAUCGAUCUGAGUAUCCCUAAGGAUAAGGAACCAGAGCCGACGGCUGACAGCCCAAAGAAAGAGAAUGCGGAAAAACCUUCUAGUUCACCGCCAGUAGAACCAGCGAUCAAAUUACUCCGGUAGAAACGGCUGCACCUGCAGUUUUGUUUUCGGUAGCUACAGAAAUUAAGACUUUAGCAGCUCCUGAAGAAAAAAAGCUGCUAGCGAAAAUGGAGAAACAGCUUCCUCCACGGAAGAUGCAGAGGCAUUCAACCCGGCGGAUGCAAGUUUGCUAAUUAAACUUAUUCGCAAAGGUCUAGUAGAAUCAAAGCUGGAUCUGGGGGUGAAGGAUCCUUCUUCGCCGCUAUACUUGGUUAAAACUUUCGAAGCUUUGCACAUGAAUUCGGAACUGCUUCAGGGAGUCUAUGCUAUGGGUUUCAACGCUCCUUCCAAGAUUCAGAAGACGGCUCAACCUACUCUGUUGGCCGAUCCACCACAGAACAUAAUCGCCCAGAGUUGGUCGGGAACAAGAAAAACCACUGCCUUCGUGCUGGCAAUGCUCAAUCGAGUCAAUCCGUUGAAAAACUAUCCGCAGGUGAUUUGCCUUUCCCCACGUAUGAACUGGCAAUUCAGAAGGGGAAAGUAGCUGCAAAACGGCAAAGUUUUGUGCGGAAAUCGAACUUGGUUAAACCGUUCGCGGUGAGAAGAUCGUCAAAGGGGCGAAGCUGACUAAUCAUAUCAUCAUCGGAAGAGCCGGGCGUUCGACCUUAAGAAGAUUGCCAUUUUUGUACCGGACGAGGCGGGCGUUAUGAUCGCUGUUCUUUUUAGCCACGUACGAGCGGGAGGUGAUGGGAUUCGUCCAGUACAUCGUAACCAAUCCGAUCAUGAUUCUUCUGGUGCGGGAGCAAGAAUCACUCGAUAACACCAAACACUACUACGUCAAAUGCCGCAACCAGGACGAGAAAUAUCAAGCAAUUUCAAACAUGUACGGUGUGAUUGUUGGCAGUGUAAAAGUGGGAGUAAUAUUUAUACCUGGCGCCACUGGACAACCUAGUUGUCAGCAGACAGAGAAAGCAAAAUGUACCAUUCAUUCCACUGUAGUAGCAUUAGCUUGAAUAAACACGUUCACGAUUUGCGUCCCGAGUUUCUUUCACAUAUCACGCGUUGUUCCGAGGUUGUUCCGGUCAUUCGGUGUACUGUGCUGCCUGUUGGGUGUUGCCUCUGAGUUUAUCUCCAAGAGGUUAUGGGCCCAGGUGAUGUGAAAGAACUGUUGGUGAAGUUUUAAAAUUUGCGAGAAUUUUGUUUUUUCUUCCUCUGCCCGAGUGCAAUCGAGGUUGGCUGUUUACGGCUCGUAAAAGGCGCGUGUUGUGUAGCUAUAUUGCAA